CAGCAGCCGCGGUAAUGCGUAGGCAGCAAGCGUUACCCGGAUUUACUGGGCGUAAAGGGCGUGUAGGCGGCCUGGGGCGUCCCAUGUGAAAGGCCACGGCUCAACCGUGGAGGAGCGUGGGAUACGCUCAGGCUAGAGGGUGGGAGAGGGUGGUGGAAUUCCCGGAGUAGCGGUGAAAUGCGCAGAUACCGGGAGGAACGCCGAUGGCGAAGGCAGCCACCUGGUCCACUUCUGACGCUGAGGCGCGAAAGCGUGGGGAGCAAACCAGAUUAGAUACCCCCGUAGUCCCUGUCUCUUAUAC
rnacentral:rRNA from 1 species